GUUUUAAAGUCCAGUCUUCAGUUUUCUUAAUCUGUUCUCAUGUUUAGUCCAGGAAACAGAAUGAGGAAAGAGAUGAGUAUAUUGCUGCAGUUUAGUACCAGUGUUUCCAUCGACCUGUGUGGAUUCAGCAAGAAAUGUCCCAAGAAACAAUGGAACAGAGGAUGGAAAACAACAGUGACAUCCACCUUUGUGCCAGGCAUAGUGCCAGUACUCCCGAGCCACACAGGCACCUGUUUCCAACCUCGCAUUCGUGCUUGUCACCAUGCGUAACGAAACAUUUGAGCUAUGAAAGCUUAAAAGUAUAUGAAGAAACAAUUAUGUGUGUUAUGAAACUGUUCAGCAGUAUGGAUCGGGGCCAGCUCUAUCCAUUCCCAGAUGUAAUGGACGUAAUUAUGAUUUGUUUUUUGUUGUUUAAAAAAUUGAAAAGAAGCAAAACCCUGGUGACAAGAAACGACAAAGCCAACAAAAUCUGAAAUUAUGGUGUUGCUGUUUCUACUGGAAUAAGAGUUCAGUACGGUCACUUACCCAGUCUUCACUUCAACAUGUCUGAGCACUUACAGCUGUAACUUGUGAUCUUUCUGGUUUAUUUGGAGGCACAGCAGGCCAGCUCCUGUACAGAGGAAUUCACAUUGAAGACGGCAUUCUUAUAUGCUUCCUAACAUGCUGCUGCUGCCUGGGUUAUUGAAAUCACAGGGAAGGUUGCAGUGCAAACAUCUAUGUACACAGAUUAAUUCACUUCAAAGUACAUUCAUUCAAGAAUUGUUCAAACAAUAAUUUAUGAAUUGAGCUUUUAUCUCGAGGAUCCGAGUAAUAAUACAGACACUUUCUAGCAACAGCAAUUGUUUUAGUGCAUAAUGUCUCAGAAAGAUUAUUUCUGAAGUAUAAAUUAUAAAUUUAACUUUAGACCUAGCCAUUUGGCAUUGAAAUUUAUGUCAUUAUUUUUACUGGCACUUUUCUACCAUGUUUGUUGUAUUCUAUCUAGUUUGUAAUGUAUCUAAGGAUUGAUGGGCACAUGAAUAAACUUUGGUUACCGUUUAAUGCAUUUUCUAGAAGACUUGCCUAUAUUUCAUCCUCCAUGGUAAUUCUGAGCUGUCUGCAUUAUAUUUCACACUUAUGUCACUUAGUGUUGCUCAUUAUAAUGAAUGUAUGUGCUUCCAGUUCAAACACUUACAGUUACUGCAUUUAUUACUCAUCUUUUGAAAAGAGAAAAAGCAGUACAACUACUGGAAACAGAUUUGGUUAAGAUGCAUUUCAUUAAAUAAACAAAUGAGAAUAGAUAUGGUAAUAAACACAA